rnacentral:lncRNA from 1 species
GCGCCGCUGCCGCUGGCGUCGCUGCUGCCGCCGUCGCCGUGCGCAGAGCGCGCAUGCCUCGUAGGACGCCACUGGGCACCCGACUACAGCGUUGUCUCUGUGGCGCAAUCGGUUAGCGCGUUCGGCUGUUAACCGAAAGGCCCCGCACCCGGAGCCAUCCUCCUGAAGCGCCCGGUGUUGGCACGAGCAAGCCGGAGGAAGCGCAGCGGAACGACCCGGACGGAGUUCCGGUUUCCGCCGCUCGCGGAGGCUUUUUGUUCACGGCCCAGGGGACCCGGAACGCUGAGGAGGACGAACCGCAAAGGUUGUCUGAAGGCCGAGGCCAAG